rnacentral:misc_RNA from 1 species
AAGUCGUAACAAGGUUUCCGUAGGUGAACCUGCGGAAGGAUCAUUAACACGUUCCACGUAUCCACCCCGCGCACUCGUUUUCCAAACUCUGAUUAAGCUCCAGCUACAGACCUGCAAACGUCGGCCCUACCGCAAAAUCAUUCUUCGAUGAGGAAACGGGCUGCACAAGCCCGGCGGCGGCCGAGUGGAUGUCCCCGAGAUCUUCUCAGAUCUUCGGGGGAGGCGCUGGAUGUCUGGUCAGGUCUUCUAUUCCUUAUCGAAGUUUUUACAACUAUUUACCCCUUUCCGAAACGUACUAAUUUAUAUUUCUUUCUUGAGAAAUUGGAGCUGCUGCACGCACCGCGAGGUGGGCGCGCACUCUGACCUACUAAGAAAAACCAAAAGAACAACUCUUAACAACGGAUAUCUUGGCUCUC